CAUUUUCUUUGCCGCUUAUCCUCACGAGGGUCGCAGGGAGUGCUGGAACCUAUCCCAGCUGUCAACAGGCAAGAGGCAGGGGACACCCUGAACUGGUUGCCAGUCAAUCGCAGGGCACAUUGAGACGAACAGCCGCACACACAAUCACACCUAGGGGCAAUGUAGAGUGUCCAAUUAAUGUUGCAUGUUUUUGGGAUCUGGGAGGAAACCGAAGUGCCCGGAGGAAACCCACGCAGGCAAGGGAAGAAGAUGCAAACUCCACACAGGCGAGUCCGGGAUUGAACCCGGGACCUCAGAAUUGUGAGGCCAACGCUUUAACAGGCGGAACAGAUGUAGCAGUUCUGAGUCGAGUCCGAAGAUGGAAGACCGAAGUCCAGGAUGGUCCCGUCCUCUUGCGCUGCCAUUCCAACCUGCGUGAAUGGAUCCAGCAUAUCCAGUUUGCCGUCCAGGCUCCGACUUGACCGUUGGCGUGCGGGACGAUUCGGGACGGUUGCUGGAAACGCCCUCCGCCGCAGAAGUGAUGUCUCCCUCUGAU